CGAGAACCGGGAGAUCUGCUAUGCCAUAUCAAGACCUUGCUCAUCUGGUGAUAAGACGGGGCUGUUUGCCUUGGAAGACUAAAGAAAGGGUGAAUAUUCACAUGAGGUAAGAACUUGAAGUUGUGGUUAUAAUACAUAGGCCAAGUUUGCCCUGCUGUCAACCCAUCUCUGUAACUCCAACUUUGUGCCUGCAUGAAUUCUGCGACAUGGUACAGCUGAUGGGUAGAGAAUUCUAACUCCUGUGAUGUAUUUACAGGAGAAGAUAAUCAUGGAAGAAUUAAAUGGAAGAAUUCAUAGAAGAAUACAGCCAUGGAUAAACUUAAUCAAAAGAAUAUGAUUUUAGUUUGGUUUAGUAUAUUCAGUCAGUCAGUUUUGUUUGUUUUUUGUGAGACGGAGUCUUGCUCUUGUCACCCAGGUUGGAGUGCAGUGGCGCAAUCUUGGCUCACUGCAACCUCCGCCUCCCAGGUUCAAGCGAUUCUCGUGCCUCAGCCUCCCUGAGUAGCUGGGAUUACAGGCGUCUGCCACCACGCCCAGCUAAUUUUUGUAUUUUUAGUAGAGACGGGGUUUCACCAUGUUGGCCAUGCUAGUCUCAAAUUCCUGACCUCAGGUGAUCCACCCGUCUCGGCCUCCCAAAGUGCUGGGAUUACAGGAGUGAGCCACUGCACCCGGCCGGGCCUUUAAAAAUAGUUUUAAAAAAUGUUUCUUGUGUGUUUUUCAAUGCUUUUAGUUACUUACAGAUUGCUACCUGAGGUGAUUUGAGGGAAGGGUAUGUUUAGUGAAUUAGUCUUAAUCAAAAUCACUAGCUAAUUAAAAGAGAAAUGUUCUCACAAGAAAAAUAAUUAUGAUGGAAAGCAGCAAUUAGCUUCUGGAACUACCUGCUUUUCAGUUCAUC
rnacentral:lncRNA from 1 species